UGAAAAAUUAAUCAAGGGCACACGGUGGAUGCCUUGGGAUCUAGAGGCGAUGAAGGACGUGGUAAGCUGCGAUAAGCUUCGGGGAGCUGCAACGAGCGCUAAUCCGAAGAUUUCCGAAUGGGGCAACCCGGCAGAUGGAAGAUCUGUCACCGAAAGGAGCUAACCCAGUGAACUGAAACAUCUAAGUAGCUGGAGGAAAAGAAAAUAAUUAAUGAUUCCCUAAGUAGUGGCGAGCGAACGGGGAAGAGCCCAAACCAAUUAUGUUCCGGCAUAGUUGGGGUUGUAGGGCCGCGAUAUCGAAUGUACAUGCGAAGAAGAACACAACUGGAAAGUUGGGCCAUAGUGGGUGAUAGCCCCUUAAUCGUAUGCAUGUAAUAUUUGUAGCGGUACCCUGAGUAGGGCGGGACACGUGGAAUCCUGUCUGAAUCUACCAGGACCAUCUGGUAAGGCUAAAUACUCCUAGAUCACCGAUAGCGAACCAGUACCGUGAGGGAAAGGUGAAAAGUACCCUGAAUAAGGGAGUGAAAUAGUACCUGAAACCGUGUGCUUACAAGCGGUCGGAGCUUCUUCGUGAAGUGACGGCGUGCCUUUUGCAUAAUGAUCCUACGAGUUGCUCCUCACUAGCGAGGUUAAGGGCUGAAGGCCCGGAGCCGAAGCGAAAGCGAGUCUGAAUAGGGCGUAUAGUUAGUGGGGGCAGACGCGAAACCUAGUGAUCUACCCAUGGCCAGGGUGAAGCUUUGGUAACACAAAGUGGAGGCCCGAACCCGUUGACGUUGAAAAGUCUUGGGAUGAGCUGUGGGUAGGGGUGAAAGGCUAAUCAAACUGGGAAAUAGCUCGUACUCCCCGAAAUGUAUUUAGGUACAGCCUUGAGUGUAGUGUAUUAGAGGUAGAGCUACUGGUUGGAUGCGGGGGCUUCACCGCCUACCAAGUCCUGUCAAACUCCGAAUGCUAAUACAUGUUCCUCAGGAGUGAGGGCCGGGGUGCUAAGGUCACGGUCCGAGAGGGAAACAACCCAGAUCAUCUGCUAAGGUCCCAAAAUAUAUGCUAAGUUGAACAAACGAGGUCGGGCUGCUUUGACAGCUAGGAUGUUGGCUUGGAAGCAGCCAUUCAUUUAAAGAGUGCGUAACAGCUCACUAGUCGAGCGGCCUGGCAUGGACAAUAAUCGGGCAUUAAGCAUAUUACCGAAGCAAUGGGCUCGUAAGAGCGGUAGGGGAGCAUUCUCGUUGCGCCGAAGGUUGACUGUAAGGUUGGCUGGAGCGGCGAGAAAAGAAAAUGUAGGAAUAAGUAACGAUAAUGCAGGUGAGAAACCUGCACACCGCAAACCCAAGGUUUCCUCAGCAAUGCUAAUCAGCUGAGGGUUAGUCGGGACCUAAGGCGAACCCGAACGGGGUAGUCGAUGGAUAACUGGUUAAUAUUCCAGUACUCGCUUUAACUGCGAUGGGGUAACGAAGGUGUGACAGCUCCGCGUACUGACGGAAUAGUACGUUGAAGCCCGUAGGUAUAGGUUGGAUAGGCAAAUCCGUCCGACUUGCUGAAAGGUGAUAGUACUCCAAGGCUUCGGCUGCGGAGAUAGUGAGUGUAAUCAGACUUCCAAGAAAAACCUCUAAGCUUCAGGUUAAAGCGACUCGUACCGUAAACCGACACAGGUGGGUGAGGAGAGUAUCCUCAGGUGCUCGAGUGAAUCAUGGCUAAGGAACUAGGCAAAAUCGCCCCGUAACUUCGGGAGAAGGGGCGCCUCCGCGAGGAGGCCGCAGUGAAUAGGCCCAGGCGACUGUUUAGCAAAAACACAGGACUCUGCUAAAUCGAAAGAUGAUGUAUAGGGUCUGACACCUGCCCGGUGCUGGAAGGUUAAGAGGAGAUGUUAUCGCAAGAGAAGCAUUGAAUUGAAGCCCCAGUAAACGGCGGCCGUAACUAUAACGGUCCUAAGGUAGCGAAAUUCCUUGUCGGGUAAGUUCCGACCUGCACGAAUGGUGUAACGAUCUGGGCACUGUCUCAGCCAUGAGCUCGGUGAAAUUGUAGUAUCGGUGAAGAUGCCGAUUACCCGUAGUGGGACGAAAAGACCCCGUGAACCUUCACUACAGCUUAGUAUUGACUUCGAAUAAUAGAUGUGUAGGAUAGGUGGGAGAUAAUGAAGCGUUGUCGCUAGGCAGCGUGGAAUCAUCCUUGAAAUACCACCCUUCUGUUAUUUGGAGCCUAACCCCGAAAGGGGGACAGUGCUUGGUGGGUAGUUUGACUGGGGUGGUCGCCUCCAAAAGAGUAACGGAGGCUUCCAAAGGUACCCUCAGCACGCUUGGUAACCGUGCGUAGAGUGCAAUGGCACAAGGGUGCUUGACUGUGAGACUUACAAGUCGACCAGGUACGAAAGUAGGGCAUAGUGAUCCGGUGGUUCCGCAUGGGUGGGCCAUCGCUCAAAGGAUAAAAGGUACUCCGGGGAUAACAGGCUGAUCCUUCCCAAGAGCUCACAUCGACGGGAGGGUUUGGCACCUCGAUGUCGGCUCGUCACAUCCUGGGGCUGGAGAAGGUCCCAAGGGUUGGGCUGUUCGCCCAUUAAAGUGGCACGCGAGCUGGGUUCAGAACGUCGCGAGACAGUUCGGUCUCUAUCUACUAUGGGCGUUAGAAAUUUGAGGGGAGCUGACAUUAGUACGAGAGGACCGUGUCGGACGCACCUCUAGUGUACCUGUUGUGGCGCCAGCUGCAUCGCAGGGUAGCUAUGUGUGGUUGGGAUAAGCACUGAAAGCAUAUAAGUGCGAAGCCCACCUCAAGAUGAGAUUUCUCUUAAGGGUCGUUCAAGAUGAGGACGUUGAUAGGCUAUAGGUGUAAAGGCAGUAAUGUCACAGCCGAGUAGUACUAAUUACCCGUGGAUUUUUCAUC
rnacentral:rRNA from 1 species